GGGGAUGUAGCACAGAGGCUAUGCAGCGGGCUGAUAAUUCGUCUACACGGGUUCGAUUCCCGUCAUCUCCACCA
rnacentral:tRNA from 1 species